rnacentral:rRNA from 1 species
AUACGUAGGUGACAAGCGUUAUCCGGAUUUACUGGGCGUAAAGGGCGUGUAGGCGGUCUUGCAAGUCAGAAGUGAAAUUCCUGAGCUCAACUCGGGCGCUGCUUCUGAAACUGCAGGACUUGAGUGCUGGAGGGGAUAGCGGAAUUCCUAGUGGAGCGGUAAAAUGCGCAGAUAUUAGGAAGAACACCGGUGGCGAAGGCGGCUAUCUGGACAGUAACUGACGCUGAGGCGCGAAAGCGUGGGGAGCAAACAGGAUUAGAUACCCUGGUAGUCCGCGCCGUAAACGAUGAAUACUAGGUGUAGGGGGUAUCGACUCCCUCUGUGCCGCAGUUAACACAAUAAGUAUUCCGCCUGGGGAGUACGGCCGCAAGGUUGAAACUCAAAUGAAUUGACGGGG